GUAAGCAUGCCGGCAUGCCUCUUAUGUUAGUUUGAACUUCGUGCAAAUAUACGUCUUGUUCGAGCGUACGUUCACGAGGCUUUAUCAUUCGCGUCUAGUCGUCGAGUUUCGUACGUACGCGAUUACGUUGCGUGGGAACACCUCCUUGUGUUUAGUAGAUCGCGAUAAAUCAAAUAUUAUACACAUAUAUAUAUAUAUAUAUAUGCAUUUAUGUGUGCAUGCAUCUAUGUAUGCAUAUCUAUCUAUAACUAUAUAAAUUCUUUCCAUUAUUUAUUGUAUAUCCACGAUGAUUCAUGAAAUAUCGUGAAUAUAAACAGUGUAUUAAAAAUCUGGUGUACGUUACGUACGUAAUUUUUUUUAGUUUUCUUUUUUCGAAAGUAGGAAAAAAGAAACAAGAAAAGAGAGAGAGAAAAAAGAAACGAAAGGAUAGAAUUUGUCAACGAUCAGUGAGCGGUGGAGGAGGUUUGGGAAGAAGGGGCCGGGGAGGGGGAGGGAAAAAAGAAAAUGUCAUUCGCGCGUUAGAAAGCAUAUUUGUGUUGGACAUUAUGGAGAUACAUUGGAAGAGUUACGAAAAGAAAAUAAUAAGCGAAGAAUUUGUUAGAAGAGGAAAGUAUCGAAAGUUCGUAAGAUUAACGGUUAACUUCAAGGAAGAUAAAGAAAAGGAAGAAAAGAAGAAGGAGGAGAAGGAGGAAGAGGAAGAAGAAGAAGAAGAAGAAGAAGACGACGACGAAGAAGUAGAAGUAGAAGUAGAAUUAGAAUUAGAAGAAGUUAGAAGGGAACACGCGUGCGAUUAUUUUCACUCCCCACUGCACGUGUUCGAUCGUUGUUGUUGAAUAGCUCGUGCAUACGCCCGCGCGCUAGUUUCUAUGUAAAUAAAGGUCGCCCACGAGUGGCGCAACCGCGCCCCACUUCUUUCUCUCAUACCGACUACAAACGUUUAAUACGUAUAUACAAAUACAUAGUUAUAUGCAUCCAUGUGUACGUAAGUAAAGUACGUAAGAGAACGAGUUGGAGUCACCUAUAUAGCUCCACUACUAGCUGAUACUCUUCCUCUUUGCUACUAUCGAACUAGUACAAGCGAUAUAUCCGACCAGAGUCGUUCAUCUCUCUUUCUCUCUCUUUCUCUCUCUAUCUAUCUAUCUAUCUAUCUAUCUAUCUCUCUCUCUAUCUCUCUCUCUCUCUCUCUCUCUCUCUCUUUGUUUCUCUCUUUCCAUCUCUCUGUCUUCCUCUUUUUCUAUCCAUCUCCCAAUAUAUUUUCUCCGUGUGACUCUAAUUAAACGUGUUAUUUCUAAUUUUAUGUUUUUUAUUCGUCGUGAAAUUGUUUCGUCGGAACUACGUCUCAAUUGCAGUUUCUUUAUCAUACUCGUAUAAGAAUUCGUACGAAAUCAUCGAAGAAUUUAUAAUACGGCCGAUUAUAGUCACGAAGUUGUUCAAUGUUCAAUGUUUCUCCAUUUUCGUGAACGUUUUUUUAAAGACGUUGGAAGAGAAAGAAAAGAAGAAAAGAAGAAAAAGAAAAGAAGUAACUCGGAAUAGUAUAGAGAGAAGAAACUAACUAACAAGACGAUAAGCCCAACGGCAAAACAUUUCUCCCUAUUGGUAGCACCGUUACUCCGACCUUGAAAAGAUACCAGCUCUUCGUAAGAAAUACUGAGAUACAUCGGCAGUGUGCUCGUGAUCAUCAAGUUUCUACGCCCGUUGGACAUUGUUUUAUACUUGAAUAUUAAGGAAUUUAACUGUCGAAGAAGAUAACGUCCUCGAUCUCUUCUCUUUUGGAAUUUGUGGAUUUUUUUUUUCAUAUAUAUAUAUAUAUAUAUAUAUAUAAUUGAGGUGCACGCGAAAAGAAGGGUAACGCGAUAUCGUGCGAUCCCCCGUUGAGAUUCUCGCCAAUGCGAUCCCGAAGGACGGAGACAUUGCGAUGAAUCAUAGGAAGAAAAUGAUCUCUACGCGCUGCCGACGGCAUCUUAAACCCAACCCUUUCUCUAACUCUGUCGUUUCGCGAUGGAAAGCACGAACGGAUGCAGAAUUUACAAAUGCCAACGGACUCUGGCGAAAUCCAGAGCGAUUACUCGGAAAAUGAAAGCAGGUGCCGUACAGUCUCUCGCUGGCACUCUCCUGCUAUCUCUUAUCAAUAAUCUUCCUUGCUAACUGGAACGAUGUGAACGAGCCAGAUGUAUCUCUUAUCGUAUCCUGAUACUUCGAAGCACACUCACGUUAAAUUUCUUCUUCGAAACGAGAUGAAUGCUUCGAUGAGAUAAUCCGAAUUCGAAGAGGAGGAAAGGUUUCCAUCGAUAAACAGCCAAUAUUACAGAUAUCCUCGUUCCUCGUUUGAGUGAGCUGAGAUAUUCUUCUGUUGGUGCUAAAACGAGGAUCUAAAAGGAUGAGGAAAAUUUACUCGAUUAUAUUCAAUUAUAAAUUAAUCCGAAUGAAAAUCAAUGGAUAAUAUUAUACUUAUCUCAUUAUAGAUAACGAU